AGCAGCCGCGGUAAUUCCAGCUCCAAUAGCGUAUAUUAAAGUUGUUGCAGUUAAAAAGCUCGUAGUUGAAUUUCGGGAUCAUCAGGUCGGUCGUGCCUCCGGUAUGUACUGGUCUCGAUGGUUCCUCCUUCUUGUAGAACCGUAAUGCCAUUAAUUUGGUGUUGCGGGGAAACAGGACUGUUACUUUGAAAAAAUUAGAGUGUUUAAAGCAGGCGAUCGCUUGAAUACAUUAGCAUGGAAUAAUGAAAUAGGACGUUCGAUCCUAUUUUGUUGGUUUCUAGGAUUGACGUAAUGAUUAAUAGGGAUAGUUGGGGGCAUUAGUAUUCAAUUGUCAGAGGUGAAAUUCUUGGAUUUAUUGAAGACUAACUACUGCGAAAGCAUUUGCCAAGGAUGUUUUCAUUAAUCAAGAACGAAAGUUAGGGGAUCGAAGACGAUCAGAUACCGUCGUAGUCUUAACCAUAAACUAUGCCGACUAGGGAUCGGAUGAUGUUAAUUUUUAAUGACUCAUUCGGCGCCUUAC
rnacentral:rRNA from 1 species